rnacentral:rRNA from 1 species
CCUACGGGUGGCAGCAGUGGGGAAUAUUGCGCAAUGGGCGAAAGCCUGACGCAGCGACGCCGCGUGAGGGAUGAAGGUCUUCGGAUCGUAAACCUCUGUCAGCAGGGAAGAACGGUCACUGUGCUAAUCAGCAGUGAAUUGACGGUACCUGCAAAGGAAGCACCGGCUAACUCCGUGCCAGCAGCCGCGGUAAUACGGAGGGUGCGAGCGUUAAUCGGAAUUACUGGGCGUAAAGCGCUCGUAGGCGGUAUGUCAAGUCAAGGGUGAAAUCCCCGCGCUCAACGUGGGAACUGCCUUUGAAACUGGCAAACUGGAGUGUGUGAGAGGAUAGUGGAAUUGCAGCUGUAGGAGUGAAAUGCGUAGAUAUCUGGAGGAACAUCAGUGGCGAAGGCGACUAUCUGGCACAUAACUGACGCUGAGGAGCGAAAGCGUGGGUAGCAAACAGGAUUAGAUACCCCGGUAGUC